GCGGGCUGGCCAGACGAUCGCUUGGCUACAAAAGCCAAGAGGAAAGUCCGGGCUCCAUAGGGCGCGACGCUGGGUAACGCCCAGCGGAGGCGACUUCGGGCAAGCGCAACAGAAAGUAGACCGCCAUAAGGCUUAUAAGCCUUUGGUAAGGGUGAAACGGCGAGGUAAGAGCUCACCGGCCGGUUUAGGCGACUAACCGGGCCAGGCAAGCCCCGUCGGGAGCAAGACCAAAUAGGAAGACGUUUUAAGGACGGCCCGUCUUAGUCUUUUGGGUAGGUCGCUGGACCGUUUAAGGUAACUUAGCGGCUAGAUGAAUGAUCGUUAGGGCCAAAAAGGCCUUUAGUGGCUAAUGGCUCCACAGAACCCGGCUUAUCGGCUACCCGCUUAA
rnacentral:RNase_P_RNA from 1 species